UCAGAUUGAACGCUGGCGGCAUGCCUUACACAUGCAAGUCGGACGGCAGCGCGGGCUUCGGCCUGGCGGCGAGUGGCGAACGGGUGAGUAAUACAUCGGAACGUAUCCUGGAGUGGGGGAUAGCCCGGCGAAAGCCGGAUUAAUACCGCAUACGCUCUGAGGAGGAAAGCGGGGGACCUUCGGGCCUCGCGCUCAAGGGGCGGCCGAUGGCGGAUUAGGUAGUUGGUGGGGUAAAGGCCUACCAAGCCGACGAUCCGUAGCUGGUCUGAGAGGACGACCAGCCACACUGGGACUGAGACACGGCCCAGACUCCUACGGGAGGCAGCAGUGGGGAAUUUUGGACAAUGGGGGCAACCCUGAUCCAGCAAUGCCGCGUGUGUGAAGAAGGCCUUCGGGUUGUAAAGCACUUUUGUCCGGAAAGAAAUCAUCGGGGCUAAUAUC
rnacentral:rRNA from 1 species